rnacentral:rRNA from 1 species
AUUGAACGCUGGCGGCAGGCCUAAUACAUGCAAGUCGAACGAGUGGCGGACGGGCGAGUAAUGUCUGGGAAACUGGCUGAUGGAGGGGGAUAACUACUGGAAACGGUAGCUAAUACCGCAUACCAUCGGAUGUGCCCAGAUGGGAUUAGGUAGUAGGUGGGGUAACGGCGCACCUAGGCGACGAUCCCUAGCUGGUCUGAGAGGAUGACCAGCCACACUGGAACUGAGACACGGUCCAGACUCCUACGGGAGGCAGCAGUGGGGAAUAUUGCACAAUGGGCGCAAGCCUGAUGCAGCCAUGCCGCGUGUGUGAAGAAGGCCUUCGGAUUGUAAAGUACUUUCAGUGAAGAAGCGUUACUCGCUGAGUAAGCACCGGCUAACUCCGUGCCAGCAGCCGCGGUAAUUC